rnacentral:ncRNA from 1 species
AGAAGAGGACGGCCUCUUUUUCCAAAAUCAUUCCGGGACGGCCCG